rnacentral:rRNA from 1 species
UACGAAGGUCCCAAGCGUUAUCCGGAUUUAUUGGGUUUAAAGGGUGCGUAGGCGGAUUAUUAAGUCAGUGGUGAAAGCCUUCAGCUUAACUGAAGAACUGCCAUUGAUACUGAUGAUCUUGAGUAUGAUUGAGGUGGGCGGAAUGUGUCAUGUAGCGGUGAAAUGCUUAGAUAUGACACAGAACACCGAUUGCGAAGGCAGCUCACUAAGUCAUAACUGACCGCUGAGGCACGAAAGCGUGGGGGAGCAAACAGG